GCCAGUGUGAUGUAGUGGAUUGAGUGCUGGACUACAACUCUGGAGACUAGGGUUCAAUUCCCAGCUCAGCCA